UACGUAGGGUGCGAGCGUUGUCCGGAAUUAUUGGGCGUAAAGAGCUCGUAGGCGGUCUGUCGCGUCGAUCGUGAAAACUUGGGGCUUAACCCUGAGCUUGCGGUCAAUACGGGCAUGACUGGAGUUCGGCAGGGGAGACUGGAAUUCCUGGUGUAGCGGUGAAAUGCGCAGAUAUCAGGAGGAACACCGGUGGCGAAGGCGGGUCUCUGGGCCGAUAUCGACGCUGAGGAGCGAAAGCGUGGGGAGCGAACAGG
rnacentral:rRNA from 1 species